GGGGGGGGGGGGGGGGGGGGGGGGGGGGGGGGGGGGGGGGGGGGGGGGGGGGGGGGGGGGGGGGGGGGGGGGGGGCCCAGGUGUAUCCCAGGUGUCCCCAGGUGUAUCCCAGGUGUCCCCAGGUGUGGCCCAGGUGUGCCCAGGUGUACCACUGGAUAUCCCCAGGUGUCCCCAGAUGUGUCCAGGUGUGUCCCAGGUGUAUCAUUGGACAUCCCCAGGUAUCCCCAGGUGUCCCAGGUAUCCCCAGCUCUAUCUCAGGUGUGCCCAGGUGUAUCAGUGGAUACCUCCAGGUGUACCCCAGGUACCCCAGGUACCCUCAGCUCUGCCCGAUGUGUCACUGCAUAUCCCCAGGUGUAUCCCAGCUGUGCCCAGGUGUGUCCAGGUGUGCCCCAGGUGUGCCCGGGUGUAUCCCAGGUGUAUCCCAGGUGUAUCUCAGGUGCACCCCAGGUGUGCCCAGGUGUGUCCAGGUGUGUCCAGGUGUCCCCCAGGUGUAUCCCAGGUGUGCCCAGGUGCACCCCAGGUGUCCCCCACCUGUGUCCCGCCGCCGCGCCGAGCUGACCACGCCGUAGGCGCCGGUGCCGAUGGUCUCGAUGAUCUCGUACUCGUCGCCCACCUCGAAGGUGACGUCGAGCGCCCGCGCCUUGAGCAGCGCCAGCGGCCCGGGGGCGUCCCGGGGGGCGGGGCCGUCCUCGGGGGCGGGGUCCGACAUCGCACCUGCCGCAGGUGUCGCGAUAUGACCGUGUCCCUAUCGCGAUAUGACCUGCCCCUGUCGCGAUACGACCCGCCCCUGUCGCGAUAUGACCUGCCCCUGUCGCGAUACGACCUGUCCCUGUUGCGAUAUGACCCGCCCCUAUCGCGAUAUGACCUUCCCCUAUCGCGAUAUGACCUGUCCCUGUCGCGAUACGACCUGUCCCUGUUGCGAUAUGACCUUCCCCUAUCGUGAUAUGACCUGCCCCUAUUGCGAUAUGACCUGCCCCUAUGGCGAUAGAGCCGUGUCCCUGUCGCGAUAUGACCCGUCCCUAUCGCGAUAUGACCUGCCCCUGUCGCGAUAUGACCCGUCUCUAUCGUGAUAUGACCUGCCCCUGUCGCGAUAUGACCUGCCCCUAUCGCGAUAUAACCAUGUCCCCAUGGCGAUAGAGCCGUGUCCCUGUCGCGAUAUGACCCGUCCCUAUCGCGAUAUGACCGUGUCCCCAUGGCGAUAUGACCUGUCCCUAUCGUGAUAUGACCGUGUCCCCAUGGCGAUAUGACCUGUCGGGGGGGGGGGGGGGGGGGGGGGGGGGGGGGGGGGGG
rnacentral:lncRNA from 12 species